rnacentral:misc_RNA from 1 species
UUUCCGUAGGUGAACCUGCGGAAGGAUCAUUACAGAGUUCAUGCCCGAAAGGGUAGACCUCCCACCCUUGUGUAUUAUUACUUUGUUGCUUCGGCGAGCGCAAGCUAGCCAGAGAAUACCAAAACUCUUUUUAUUAAUGUCGUCUGAGUACUAUAUAAUAGUUAAAACUUUCAACAACGGAUCUCUUGGUUCUG